UCCGCCCACCCGGCCCAGCGAGUUUGAGCCCCACGGGGUAACUCCAGUCCCUCUUUCUAAGAGUUGGGUUGUCGGCUCCCACUGGCGCAGACAUUCCGGCUUUGGGACAGGGGAGAGGAGCCGAGGUCAGGGAGCCCGGCCCCCGGGGGACAAAGGGCUCAGACGUCAAUAAGCCCGAGAGACCAGUCUAGAGGACUCCGGCUGGCUCCCCAGAUUAGGAGUUGGGGAGGUCAAAGAAGAGGAGAGGAGAGCCAACUGGGUCUGCGGGAAGAUCUGGUCUGGGUGCUUCCAAGAUCAAUUCAACCAGCAUUUAUUAAGCCCCUUCUUGUUUGCAAGGUACUGGGAUAGGAGCUGAAGAAAAAAGAACAGAACCAAUAUGGUCCUUGCCCUCAAGGAUCUUACCUUCUUCUGGGGAGGUACAACAGGCGAACAAUGCAGGUCUCAUCAAAGAGUUUGCGCUCGAUGUCGAUGUAGUGGGACCAGUACUUGCUCUUGAGGAAGGCGGCCUGGGUGAAGCAGGGCCGAACUGCCCGGACGAUGAAUGCCAGGAGUGUGGUCAGCAGCACGAAGCUCCAGCCCAAAGCCUGAAAGGACCCCAAGUGGAGGGGUCCUGUUGAAGAAGAUCAGGAAGUGAGGGAGACACCCGAGAGCUCACCUGGGAGAUGCAGCGCAAAUAUC